GUGCCAGCCGCCGCGGUAAUACAGAGGGUGCAAGCGUUACUCGGAAUUACUGGGCGUAAAGCGCGCGUAGGUGGUUUGUUAAGUUGAAUGUGAAAUCCCCGGGCUCAACCUGGGAACUGCAUGCAAAACUGGCAAGCUAGAGUAUGGUAGAGGGUGGUGGAAUUUCCUGUGUAGCGGUGAAAUGCGUAGAUAUAGGAAGGAACACCAGUGGCGAAGGCGACCACCUGGGCUCAUACUGACACUGAGGUGCGAAAGCGUGGGGAGCAAACAGGAAUAGAUACCCGCGUAGUCC
rnacentral:rRNA from 1 species